rnacentral:rRNA from 1 species
UACGGGGGAGGCAAGCGUUGUUCGGAAUUACUGGGCGUAAAGGGCUCGUAGGCGGCCAACUAAGUCAGACGUGAAAUCCCCGGGCUUAACCUGGGAAUGGCAUUUGGGACUGCAAGGCUGGAGUGUGGCAGAGGAGACUGGAAUUCCUGGUGUAGCAGUGAAAUGCGUAGAUAUCAGGAGGAAUACCGAUGGCGAAGGCAGGUCUCUGGGCUAACACUGACGCUCAUGCACGAAAGCGUGGGGAGCAAACAGG